rnacentral:tRNA from 1 species
GGGUUGUGGCUCAGUGGUAGAGUGUCUGCCUCGCACCUCAUUUGAGGCCCUGGGUUUGAUCCUCAGCCCCA